CAGCUCAAAGAUAAAGUAUGACAUCCUCUUCCUAGAGCACAUCUGGUGACAGUAGCCUUGGUUAGAUACCCUUAAAGAGGUUAUGUGGACCCUCAGGAAGCUGCUCAUAUAAAAUAUUUGCAUUCCAUAUAUUAUAUUAUGAUCUUUGCUGCAUUAAAGUCCAGUGACAUCUGGUCAUUUGUUGUUGUGACCAUAAGAGACAUCUGAGGGAAAGUUGUUUCUAUACCAGAUUCAAACAGGACCAUGGGCAGAGAGAGGAGAAUGAUACAUGGGAACCACAGGAGAGACUCAUGGCAGCAAGGACUAAAGCUUUAUUGCCAGGCAUACCCUGAGCUGUCAAGUUGCAGCCUGGAAUGUUUACAGCUAUGUUUUAACCUCCUGACAAUGAGACUCUGCAAUGGAAAGGCUGCCAGACCUUCAAAUAUAGUGAUGGCACUCUAAUAUU
rnacentral:lncRNA from 1 species